CAAUCAUCUUCCCUAAGCUUGGCACUUGGCACUUGGCACUUGGCACUCUAUAAUUAACAGACGUGAACCCAUCUUGAACUCAGCUUCCCUCUCUCUCUCUCUCUCUUUCUGUCUCUGGCUUAUCCUCCUCCCGAUCCAGGGGUUUUACUAGGGCUUAACGUUAAUUCACCAAUCCUAUCGAACCCUUAUCUUUCACUAGCACAGCUAAUGCUAUCCAAUUUCUGAUUAGGGUUUCCUUUUCCACAUAAUCCAUUCAAUCUUGAAUCAAAAUUCGGCUGAACUCCAGAUUCAAUCGCAGAAACCCUAUAAAUAAAUCAGUCUAGGUUUUGCUGGAUUCUUUCUGUACUGAAGUGUUGUUAAUUCUAACGAUGAUCAGUCGCUGAAAGAUGCGAAUGGUCUUUUUGGGGAUUUUGCUUAUUUGAAGUGACAUGAAGUGUCGAGUAUGAGCGAUGGAGGUGCGGAGAGUGGAAGAGACUACCAACACAACACUAUCAAGAAGAAUUCAGGAGGAACUGACGAUUUUGCCCAAUCGAUUGCAAAAAUUGCUGUAGCGCAGGUUUGCGGGAGUGUAGGGUUUCAGAGUUUUCAGCACUCAGCUCUCAACACGCUCGCUGACGUCGCCGUCCGAUAUAUUUCCCACUUAGGGAAGACUGCAAUUCUCUAUGCGAAUUUGGCCGGUAGGAAUGAGUGUAACGUGUUCGACAUAAUUCAGGGAUUGGAAGAUUUGGGAUCGCAACAGGGAUUUUUGGGUGCUUCAGAUAUUAAUAGCUGCCUUGCAGUUUCUGGCAUUGUUCAGGAGAUUAUUCGGUAUGUUGGUGAAGCUGAGGAAAUCCCAUUUGCGCAUUCGAUUCCACGUUUUCCGAUUGUUAAAGACUCGAAGCCAAUGUCAAGCUAUAUGCAAAUCGGAGAAACGCCACCGGCCGAGCACGUACCGGCAUGGUUACCUGCCUUUCCUGAUCGCAUGACUUACGUAAACUCGCCCUUGCAGCAUGAGAGAGAAGCAGAUACUCAGUCGGAUAAGAUUGCGGAGGCUAAAGAGCAGAAGGUAGAACGGCCGUUGAUGAAUUUGCAGCAGGAGUUGGCUUCUAAUGGGUCUGAGGUGCCAACAGCAGUUGACCCAGGAGAUGCUGCUAAGGCAAAACGAGCUGCGGAUUGCAACCCGUUUCUUGCAGCACCAAUGCAAUUUGGGGAGAAGGUAGUGUCUUCAGUUCUUCUUCCGCCUAAGCUUUUGGAUGAAGCUGUCAUGCAAAAUCGUGCAGUUAUUGAAAAUCAUGUUUCAGUAUUGGAUACGUUUGCCCCCGCUUUUGAAGCGGUGAAGGACAGGUUAUGUGAUCCUGAAGAGGGUGGGAAGCAGGUUCUUUUGAAGAAGAGGCCAACUGUGCAAUUUAAGUUUGGGACUGGUAAGAAGUCCUUCAUUACAGCAAUGAGCCUCCAAAAUGAAGGUAAUGAGAAAACUGCCUCUUGAUUUGGGAAUGAAAAUUUGAAAGAUGACAAGAAAAGGAGGGCCGGGCAAAUUAUAAAGGAAUCCAUGGAAAUCUCGCAGGAACUGACUCAAUUGUAAAUUAGGUCUGUUUGAUUAGAAUUUGUAUACUUAUUAAGGAACCAGCAUCAGAUGCUGCUUCCACUGUAGUCAAAGUCGGGGAGCAUAGAUUUGUCUAUAUACAGGCAUUAGAGACUGCUAGAGGAAAAUGUCCCCAUUUUUACACGUUUCCAAGAUGCUUAACAAAACAAGAACCUUACCUUUGAAAGCAUUUGAUAUCUUCUUCACAGGAGAUGGCAAGUCUUCUAUGUAGAAUGUAGCAUCAAGAACGGAAACAGGACUUGGUUGGUCCAAG